GAGGUGGGAGGAUUGCUUAAGUCUGGGAGGUUGAGGCUGCAGUGAGCUGAGACCACACCACUGCACUCCAGCCUGGGUGACAGAGCGAGACCCUGUCUCA
ensembl:miRNA